rnacentral:rRNA from 1 species
AGUAGUAUUAUAAUAAAAAACUCAUAAACUAUGGCGGCUUAAAUAAAUUAGAGAAACUCGCUUUUUAAUCGAUAAUACCCGUUAAUUUUAACUUAAUCUAAAAAUCUAUAUACCGCCGUUACAGAUUUUAUUAAAAAAUAUAACUCUACCUAUUUAAAUAAAUAAAAAAUCAGGUCAAGGUGUAGUAUAUGAAUAAGUUAAAGUAAGUUACAAUAAAAACAAUUUUAAGGAUAGUAUAAUAAAUUAUAAAUGAAAAAGAAUUUAUAUGUACAUUUAAAUCAAAAUUUAACUUAGAAACAUAUCAUUAAAGCGC